CUCCUCGUAGCUCAAUGGAUAGAGCAUUAGCCUUCUAAGCUAAGUAUAGAGGUUCGAUUCCUCUCGAGGAGA
rnacentral:tRNA from 1 species